rnacentral:tRNA from 1 species
CAUUAAGUGGCUGAAAGUAAGCAAUAGUCUCUUAAACUUUAAAUAAUAAUUAACGAAUAUUCUUAAUGA